rnacentral:rRNA from 1 species
AGAGUUUGAUCAUGGCUCAGAAUGAACGCUGGCGGCGUGCCUAACACAUGCAAGUCGAGCGAGAAAGCUCUUCGGAGUGAGUACAGCGGCGGACGAGUGAGUAACACGUGAGAACCUACCCUUAAGUGAAGAAUACCCGCGAGAAAUCGCGGUUAAUACUGCAUACGUCCCCUCGGGGAGAAAGGUGGCUUUAUGCUACCGCUGAAGGAUGGGCUUGCGGACUAUCAGCUUGUUGGUGGGGUAAAGGCCCACCAAGGCUAUGACGGUUAACCGGCCUGAGAGGGUGUACGGUCACGUUGGAACUGAGACACGGUCCAGACUCCUACGGGAGGCAGCAGUGAGGAAUAUUGCACAAUGGGCGAAAGCCUGAUGCAGCGACGCCGCGUGGAGGAUGACGGUCUUCGGAUUGUAAACUCCUGUUAAGUGGGACAAAAUCCUUACUUCUAAUACAGGUAAGGGAUGAUGGUACCAUUAGAGAAAGCACCGGCUAACUUCGUGCCAGCAGCCGCGGUAAUACGAGGGGUGCAAGCGUUAUUCGGAUUUAUUGGGCGUAAAGGGUGCGUAGGUGGUAUGUUAAGUCUGUUGUUAAAUUUUCCGGCCUAACCGGAAAUGUGCAGUGGAAACUGGUGUACUAGAGAGUGGAAGAGGGAAGUGGAAUUCUCGGAGUAGCGGUAAAAUGCGUGGAUCUCGAGAGGAACACCGAUGGCGAAGGCAGCUUCCUGGUCCAUUUCUGACACUGAGGCACGAAAGCGUGGGGAGCAAACAGGAUUAGAUACCCUAGUAGUCC